rnacentral:rRNA from 1 species
AGUGAACGCUGGCGGUAGGCCUAACACAUGCAAGUCAAACGGCAGCACAGUAAGAGCUUGCUCUUACGGGUGGCGAGUGGCGGACGGGUGAGGAAUACAUCGGAAUCUACUUUUUCGUGGGGGAUAACGUAGGGAAACUUACGCUAAUACCGCAUACGACCUACGGGUGAAAGCAGGGGAUCUUCGGACCUUGCGCGAUUGAAUGAGCCGAUGUCGGAUUAGCUAGUUGGCGGGGUAAAGGCCCACCAAGGCGACGAUCCGUAGCUGGUCUGAGAGGAUGAUCCGCCACACUGGAACUGAGACACGGUCCAGACUCCUACGGGAGGCAGCAGUGGGGAAUAUUGGACAAUGGGCGCAAGCCUGAUCCAGCCAUACCGCGUGGGUGAAGAAGGCCUUCGGGUUGUAAAGCCCUUUUGUUGGGAAAGAAAAGCAGCAGGUUAAUACCCCGCUGUUCUGACGGUACCCAAAGAAUAAGCACCGGCUAACUUCGUG